GCUCACCAGUCGCGAAAACUCCGCAAUACGCGAAAGCGUGACGGGGCCAUCCCGAGUGCCGUCCGCUGAGGAUGGCUUUUCCCUAGUGUAGAUAGCUGGGGGAAUAAGGAGAGGGCAAGUCUGGUGUCAGCCGCCGCGGUAAUACCAGCUCUUCGAGUGGUAGGGAUGUUUAUUGGGCUUAAAGCGUCCGUAGCCGGCUCAGCAAGUCUCCCGUUAAAUCCAACGAUUCAAUCGUUGGACUGCGGGAGAUACUGUUGAGCUAGGAGGCGGGAGAGGCCGACGGUAUUCUCGGGGUAGGGGUGAAAUCCUAUAAUCCCGGGAAGACCACCAGUGGCGAAGGCUGUCGGCUAGAACGCGCCCGACGGUGAGGGAUGAAAGCUGGGGGAGCGAACCGGAUUAGAUACCCGGGUAGUCC
rnacentral:rRNA from 1 species